GAUGAUUCAUGAUCAUCUAUCAAUAAAUUUUGGAUCAAAGAAGGUUGAAUCGAUAUCAAGUACAUCUAUCAAUGAUUUGAGAUGUGGAAGAAGUCAUCAACCAAGCAAUAAACUCAAUUCAAAACAUCAAGUGAUCAUCAAAAAUAAAAUAAAAAUGAAUUAAAAAAGAUUAAUAAAAGAAAACAAAUGAGAAAAUUUCAAAGAGGGGUCAAAACAUCAAAAAAAAAGUCC
rnacentral:lncRNA from 1 species